UCAACGGACCCAAAAAAGCCCCGGGGACCCCUGACGAUCUCUCUAACUCCUCUCCCCGGAGACCAAUACACCACCUUCCUUCGCCGGAGAUCUAAGAAAACCCUUUGAAUUCGAAAGGAUUGGUUUGUGGUCGCGCGCUCUUCAUUCAUUCCGCUCUCAGCAAACCCAGACACCCCCACACCCAUAGUGAUCUAGGUAGCGCCACUGCCGGAGGCCUAAACACCCCCAACCUUCUCAGGAAACUCUCAUUCAUCUCUCUGCUCCAAGAAAUUAUCAAGAUCGUUGUAAGUUUCUCUAGGGUUGUUUUUUGUGAUUAAGAUGUUGUAAUUUCCAUGUAAAAUUAAAAUUGGAGUUUGAAUAAGAAAGAAUCGAAGGUUAAUUGGUAUUAUUUUAAUUUGCUAGUAUUUCCCUGCCUUCUUCUUCAUCUAUUUUGUUGGCGGGUUUUUUCUGUAAACUCUGAUUUUGUCAGGUUAACUAACCGCUUUAGAUGCAUUACAACUUAAAAAGGAAACUGCGUUUUAUUGUUCUCUUCAUUGGGAUUCUUGGUGUUCAUCUUCUUCUUCACCUUUUCGUUCUUAUACUUUUUUUUAUUCGUUUAUUAUACUUUAUUUCUUCAGGGGUUUUCUGCUAUUGAGAUGUGAUUACUGUAUAGACGUGAAAUCUAAUUCUAUCAGAUCACGAUGUUUUAGUCAACAAUCUUCCCUCGUAUUUCAGUAUUUACUGUUUUUGUUUCUGUUUCUGUUUGGUUAAAAAUAUGCAAAAACACCAGGUUUGGUUAACUUUACAAAGGCAACUACAUUCCAUUAUAAAAGUAGUGAACAAUGUUGAAGAAGCCAUAGAACAUAUACACAUCAAUGGAAGGUGUUACAUUAUGUUAUGAACCAAGAGUGAAUGGUUUGGUUACCUUUUACUAAGGCAACUACAUUUCAUUUUGGAAGUAGUGAACAAUGUUGAUGAAGUAUGACAAUCAGAUUUCUCAAGAAAGUUGAUUGUGGCAAAUUGCCAAGACACUGAGAAAGAGCAAAAUACUUUCAGUUCUUAAUCCAGGGCACAAAUAGUUUAUGUCAAGGACAAUGUAACAUUUCAUACAAGUCAAUAUGCCUUAAAGUUGAUCAAACAAGGUCUAGCAUUCCCUCCUCUUUACUUCUAAAGUGGAGGAGUCCAGGAGUUUCUUGCUGCAAUUCAACAUGUCCUCAUUAUCAGGUUUGUGGUUUAGGUCUAAAAUGAUACAGUAGUUACUACUUCAGAAGACAAUCAUUCGGGCAGUGGGCAGAGGCAAAAAACUCACAACCCUGCCCGAGAUUUUUUGGUCAAGUUUUAGAAAAAUUCUCUCUUGUGACAAGGAUUGCCUGGAAAACAACUUCCCAACUCUUCUGUGACAGCCUUGUUGAUUUUUAUAUAUGGUAAAUUUCAGGAAAUAGCAACAUCAUUUUUUUUAUCAAUGUUUUGGCAAUAUACUUUACUUUUUACCCAUAAUAGCAACAUACUUAUAUAUCUUUACAUAUAAAAACAUCAUACUUGCUUACAAUUCCUUACUCAUAAUAACAACAUACUUAAAUCUCUUUACAAACAAUAGCAAAGUAUAUUGCUUUUAUCUGUAAAGAAAUGUAAGUAAGUUGCUAUUAAGGAUUAGUACAUUGGUUCUAUUGGUAAAGAAAUGUAACUACAUUGCUGUUAUUGGUAAAAAAAAAUGAUUAUGUUGUUAUGUAAAAACUAAUAAUAUACAUUGCCAAUAUUGGUAAAAGGAGUCAAGUACAUUGCUUUUCCAUGCAAGUUGCUUUUUGUAUACUCAUAUAAAAAUUAAUCAAGUAAUGCUAAUUGUGUUGUACACAGGUCAAAGAAGGUCCUCCCUCUAUCUCAAUGUAUAAGAAGGGUCUUUUGGUCAUUUAGUUAAAAAGAAGAAUGAAAUUGAAUCCCUUCCACCUGUCCCUAUGAAUGGUUGAAGCCCAUCAAAUAUGAAAUUUAAUUUUGAAAUAAACAACCAACUCUGCCGGAAUCCAUGAUUCCAUUUUUUUUUUCGCUGUGGUUUCUAACAUGUUUAUUAUUGUUUUGAUAUGGCAGCUGCUGGAACCACUCAAUAACCCAUUAGUUCAAACAAAACGACAGCUUGAAUUACUUCUUCUGUUUCCGUUAGAUUCCAAUCCAAUUCAAAAGGCAAGUAAAUUUACUCUUCUACCCUCGCAAACUACAAUACUAGUUACAAUUUAUGACAUGGUUUCAGUUAAUUUGAAUACAAUAAAACAAUAAGAUACGGAGCCAAUGUGGUUGACGAAUCUUGUUGAUGAGUCAACGCAGACUGCAACUGACGAGAGAACUCGGACUUGUGCUGUAAGUGAACGUCAUAGCUAUGGUGUCUUGUUCAAGUCAUCCAGAAAGACAUCAAAAUGAAAGUGACAUGUGAUCUCUCUAUACAGAUAAAAGAAAGGCCACACAAAAGAUAAAGAGAAAUGUCGGCUCCACUUUUCUUUUCUUUCUCAUAUGACACCUUAGCCUCUAUAUUUUCUAGACUCUCUUUAUUUAGCUCUACACUAUGAGACCCUACCUAAGUCAGAACCUCAUUAUUCCCUUAUAAAAGCAAUGCCAUCGGGAAAAGUCUUAUGGGUUGUUCCUGUCAGCUCAAAGUCAAAAAAGUAGAUUUGAUUGUCAAUUGAACGGUAUUUAGGUCCAAAUUGUUCAAAGAAAGAAUUUAUAUUCAAGAAAGAAAAAGGAUGCAUGAUACAAUGUUUAUAGUUGUUCAAUGUCUUGGAAAGAUGCUUGCUCCUAUUAUGUGACAUGACAUCUUCUUUGUUAUGUAGUGUGCUCACAUGAUUCUUUACGAGUCUCAAAUAGAGUGAAGACAACAACACAAUCACAUGUGGACCAUGUCGAGCUCCUUAAGUACAUGUAUGUAUGGUAUUGCAUUAAGAAAGAAUUCGUUUGUUAUGAUGGAAUUAAAGCUGCUACCUAUCAUGAAUUUCUCUUUAUUUUUUAUAUAUUUAAAAGUUUAAUGAAA